rnacentral:lncRNA from 1 species
UAUUAAAUUAUAGGUAUUGAUUUGUACCAGCACAUUGGCAUGGGGUGUAAACCUUCCAGGUCAUCAUCUGGUCAUUAUUAAGGUAAGGCAAAAUUUGUGCGGUAUGUUUUUCAUUUGGUUCUUAUAUUUACAAAGGUUUCUGGCAGGAGUAUAUUGCAGCAGCUGUUGUUCAGGACAAAUUUACAUAAGUGUUGAUUCUCUUGCCGUCGCAGGGAACAGAAUAUUAUGAUGGGAAAACAAAGAGAUAUGUUGAUUUUCCAAUAUCAAUCACAGAUAUAUUGCAAAUGAUGGUUUUGGUCACACAUGACUAUAUAGAAUAAAAAAUGGAAA